CUUUAUGGCCCUCCUUCUGGACCCAGUCUUUCAGGUCGAUGUCCUUCCUGUGUUGAGGGCUCCAGAGCUGGACUCAGUACUUCAGGGAAACCAACAUGUUAGGAGCUCCAGUUCACUUGGUAAUGCCAGCAAACUUCUCCCAAAGAGAAGAUCACUCUGAAAAGCAAAACCAUGUGGGAGAUGCAUCUACAGAGAGGCUGGCUGUAGUAUCAUGAGCCAGAAACCAGGCUGAGUAAAAGAUGAUCAUUAGAGGUUGAAUGGGUUUUGCAGCAUUGCAGUUGGAGAGUCAGAGCCUUUUCAGGAGGCUCACAAGGAGCAUGGGUUUUGUUCUUUCUGGUCAUAACUGAGUAUCUGCCUUGUGCCAGACUCACUGCUUGAAGUUCCAAUUAGAAGCACUAUGAAAUCCAAGAUUUUCUGGAGAUAUCCACCCUGUUUUCCAGUAUGGCAGAACUCUGUGGGUGAGUCCUCAAGGAUUUUGUUGCUGUAUGCCAAUGCUGAGAUAAGCAGAGAACACAAAUACUCAGAUCCUUCCAAAAACAGCCUGGCAAUUUCAUCAGUGCAAAUGCCAAUGACUGCUGCUGAUAAGAGAGAAGGGGAGAGCAGCAGGAGGAAAGAAUGUUUUGUUUCUGGUGCAUAACGUUGAAAGCAAACAAAAAAGUCCCUCUUGAGGAUAAAGGGGACUCUCAGAAGUGCUGUAGCCUGCUUGAGACAUGCAGAACCUUGUCCACAACCAGGCUAGAUUCUAGCAUUGCUUGUGCUGGCCAGACAACAAUGAACCCUUUGAACACA